rnacentral:lncRNA from 1 species
CUCAAUGCCAAAAGUCACAAAAAUAGCACUCAAGGGGUGGGGUUUAGGGUAUAGAAUUUAGGGUUUAGGGUUUAGAGUUUAGGUUUUAGGGUUUAGAGUUGAGAAGUGAGAUUUUGGGGAUAAGAUUUCAAAUUUAAAAAAAUAAAAAAUUUAAAUUUUUCAAAAGAUAAAAUGCUAUUUUGGUCAUUUUAGUUUUUGAGUGCUAUUUUUGUGAUAUAAACUUAGAAAGGUGCUAUUUUGGAGAUUUGCCCUUAUUAAUUUUCACAAAACCCGUAAUGAAUUUUAUAUAUAAUAAAACACGAAUUUAUUUUAAUAAUAUUAAAUUUAUAUGUUAUA